UACGUAGGGUGCGAGCGUUGUCCGGAAUUAUUGGGCGUAAAGGGCUCGUAGGCGGUCUGUUGCGUCAGGAGUGAAAACUCGGGGCUUAACCCCGAGCCUGCUUCUGAUACGGGCAGACUAGAGGUAUGCAGGGGAGAACGGAAUUCCUGGUGUAGCGGUGAAAUGCGCAGAUAUCAGGAGGAACACCGGUGGCGAAGGCGGUUCUCUGGGCAUUACCUGACGCUGAAGAGCGAAAGUGUGGGGAGCGAACAGG
rnacentral:rRNA from 1 species